CAGCCGCCACGGGAAUACGUAGGUGGCAAGCGUUAUCCGGAAUUAUUGGGCGUAAAGCGCGCGUAGGCGGUUUUUUAAGUCUGAUGUGAAAGCCCACGGCUCAACCGUGGAGGGUCAUUGGAAAUUGGAAAACUUGAGUGCAGAAGAGGAAAGUGGAAUUCCAUGUGUAGCGGUGAAAUGCGCAGAGAUAUGGAGGAACGCCAGUGGCGAAGGCGACUUUCUGGUCUGUAACUGACGCUGAUGUGCGAAAGCGUGGGGAUCAAACAGGAUUAGAUACCCGUGUAGUCCCUGUCUCUUAUAA
rnacentral:rRNA from 1 species